GAGGGUAUAGCUCAGUGGUAAAGCGCAUGCCUAGCAUGCACGAGGUGCUGGGUUCAAGCCUCAGUACCUCUG
rfam:Camelus ferus unplaced genomic scaffold scaffold738, whole genome shotgun sequence.